rnacentral:rRNA from 1 species
GAUGAACGCUGGCGGCGUGCCUAAUACAUGCAAGUCGAGCGAAUGGAUUAAGAGCUUGCUCUUAUGAAGUUAGCGGCGGACGGGAGAGUAGCACGUGGGUAACCUGCCCAUAAGACUGGGAUAACUCCGGGAAACCGGGGCUAAUACCGGAUAACAUUUUGAACCGCAUGGUUCGAAAUUGAAAGGCGGCUUCGGCUGUCACUUAUGGAUGGACCCGCGUCGCAUUAGCUAGUUGGUGAGGUAACGGCUCACCAAGGCAACGAUGCGUAGCCGACCUGAGAGGGUGAUCGGCCACACUGGGACUGAGACACGGCCCAGACUCCUACGGGAGGCAGCAGUAGGGAAUCUUCCGCAAUGGACGAAAGUCUGACGGAGCAACGCCGCGUGAGUGAUGAAGGCUUUCGGGUCGUAAAACUCUGUUGUUAGGGAAGAACAAGUGCUAGUUGAAUAAGCUGGCACCUUGACGGUACCUAACCAGAAAGCCACGGCUAACUACGUGCCAGCCGCCGCCGUAA